rnacentral:miRNA from 1 species
CGUUGAUGAUGCUGAUGAUGCUGAUGAUGAGGAUGGCAAUGAGGAGGAGACUGUGUAUCAUGUAUUGCGUAUCAUCACCAUCAUACUCAUCAACAAUA